rnacentral:rRNA from 1 species
UACGUAGGGUGCAGGCGUUAAUCGGAAUUACUGGGCGUAAAGCGUGCGCAGGCGGUUUUGUAAGUCAGAUGUGAAAUCCCCCGGCUUAACCUGGGAACUGCGUCUGAUACUGGAAGGCUUGAGGAUGGGAGAGGGAUGUAGAAUUCCAGGUGUAGCGGUGAAAUGCGUAGAUAUCUGGAGGAAUACCGGUGGCGAAGGCGGCAUCCUGGACCAUUACUGACGCUGAGGCGCGAAAGCUAGGGGAGCAAACGGG